UGCGUAUUCUUUUCAGAACGCCGCGGACGCAGAACAGAUCGAUUGGAAUGAGUGGCAUUGCGGAUCGUUUAAUUGAACGUGUCAAUAAUCAAGAGCCGGAUCGAUUGGGGGAUGAAUUUCAUCGCGAUGUCUAACUGAACGCGGUGGACGCACGGUGGACCGCCUCCAGAAUGAUUGGCAUCGCACAUCAUAUAAUUGAUUGUUGUAUAUUCUACAACUGUGCAUCGUGUGCGUGUGCGAGAACCUGAAAUGGAACGUUGACUAAUUAUGAGGAGGCGAUAGAAGUUUGAAAACUCAAACAGAGGAGGCCUAGGAAAGGUAUUAGGUACAUACCGGUGGAGCAACUUUGGGUUGACGUAUUCUUGUCGCCGAUUUAAUUGAAAAUAAACGAACCGCAGCCGGUUCGUCGCGUCGUGCGUUUUAUUUCGGGAGUGCCGUUUAAGUUAUCGGACUAAAACUUUUGUGAAUAAUUAGUCCGCGCGCGAUUAUAAUAUAUUGUCGCGAGUGUUUUUCGCGAGUGUGCAACGGAAAAAGGAAGAAAAGAAGAUUUGACAAUCCAAAUGUCUUGAGAGGAGGAGGAGGUCUAGGAGAGACAUCGGGCCCCGGCGGAGCAACUUUGGGUAUCAUCGCAGCUUCGUGGCUGAUAAACUCCGCUCGUUGC
rnacentral:lncRNA from 13 species